rnacentral:rRNA from 1 species
UACAGAGGGGGCAAGCGUUGUUCGGAAUUACUGGGCGUAAAGGGCGCGUAGGCGGCCUGUUAAGUCGAACGUGAAAUCCCCGGGCUCAACCCGGGAACUGCGUCCGAUACUGGCAGGCUUGAAUCCGGGAGAGGGAUGCGGAAUUCCAGGUGUAGCGGUGAAAUGCGCAGAUAUCAGGAGGAACACCGGUGGCGAAGGCGGCUCUCUGGGACGGUACUGACGCUGAGACGCGAAAAGCGU